rnacentral:rRNA from 1 species
AGCUUGCUGGGCGGAUUAGUGGCGAACGGGUGAGUAAUACGUGAGUAACCUGCCUUUAACUCUGGGAUAAGCCUUGGAAACGGGGUCUAAUACCGGAUACGACCAACCCUCGCAUGGGGUGUUGGUGGAAAGGGAUUUUGUACUGGUUUUAGAUGGGCUCACGGCCUAUCAGCUUGUUGGUGAGGUAACGGCUCACCAAGGCGACGACGGGUAGCCGGCCUGAGAGGGUGACCGGCCACACUGGGACUGAGACACGGGCCAGACUCCUACGGGAGGCAGCAGUGGGGAAUAUUGCACAAUGGGCGCAAGCCUGAUGCAGCGACGCCGCGUGAGGGAUGACGGCCUUCGGGUUGUAAACCUCUUUCAGCGGGGGAGAAGCGAAAGUGACGGUACCUGCAGAAGAAGCGCCGGCUAACUACGUGCCAGCAGCCGCGGUAAUACGUAGGGCGCGAGCGUUGUCCGGAAUUAUUGGGCGUAAAGAGCUUGUAGGCGGUUUGUCGCGUCUGCUGUGAAAGCCCGGGGCUUAACCCCGGGUUUGCAGUGGGUACGGGCAGACUAGAGUGCAGUAGGGGAGACUGGAAUUCCUGGUGUAGCGGUGAAAUGCGCAGAUAUCAGGAGGAACACCAAUGGCGAAGGCAGGUCUCUGGGCUGUAACUGACGCUGAGAAGCGAAAGCAUGGGGAGCAAACAGGAUUAGAUACCCUGGUAGUCCAUGCCGUAAACGUUGGGCACUAGGUGUGGGGAACAUUCCACGUUUUCCGCGCCGUAGCUAACGCAUUAAGUGCCCCGCCUGGGGAGUACGGCCGCAAGGCUAAAACUCAAAGAAAUUGACGGGGGCCCGCACAAGCGGCGGAGCAUGCGGAUUAAUUCGAUGCAACGCGAAGAACCUUACCAAGGCUUGACAUAUACUAGAUCGCCUCAGAGAUGGGGUUUCCCUUCGGGGCUGGUAUACAGGUGGUGCAUGGUUGUCGUCAGCUCGUGUCGUGAGAUGUUGGGUUAAGUCCCGCAACGAGCGCAACCCUCGUUCUAUGUUGCCAGCACGUAAUGGUGGGGACUCAUAGGAGACUGCCGGGGUUAACUCGGAGGAAGGUGGGGAUGACGUCAAAUCAUCAUGCCCCUUAUGUCUUGGGCUUCACGCAUGCUACAAUGGCCGGUACAAAGGGUUGCGAUACUGUGAGGUUGAGCUAAUCCCAAAAAGCCGGUCUCAGUUCGGAUUGGGGUCUGCAACUCGACCCCAUGAAGUCGGAGUCGCUAGUAAUCGCAGAUCAGCAACG